rnacentral:lncRNA from 1 species
ACAACCUCCUGCUCUGUUUGUUUAGUGAAAAUAUUUUCAUCAGAAACAUGUGGAGUUCAAGCAGGAACAAAUAUGAAUACAAUCAUUUAUUAUGUGAUGUAAUACUUGAGUAUAAUGUAUGAACUGAAAAUCAUGUGUAUUUUAAUUAUAAAACUUAUGAUCUUAUCAACUAACCCUAGUUGGAGUUUAAAGAGAGUUGGUACAAAUUAGGUGAAAAUCAAGAAUAAUUUAAUAACAUCUGUAAUGCUGCAUAUGAGAAAUGAAAUGUUCCAUA